UUUCAUGAUUGUUUUCGUUUAAUUACUAGGAGGCCUACUAGUUUAUUAUUCGUUGCAAUCUAUUGCUAGGUUAGAUAUCAAAUCCGUAAUUGUUUGAUCCCUCUAAUCUGUGAAGCAACUAAGAUCUAAUAAUUUGCUGCGUCAGAAAUUUUCAGAUCUUAGGAAGAAUACUCGGCUAAAUCAAAUGCAACCGCUUGUGUUUGUGUUGUUUAGCUUCAUCGAUCUCUCUAAUU
rnacentral:lncRNA from 1 species